UACAGGGGGGGCAAGCGUUGUUCGGAAUCAUUGGGCGUAAAGGGCGCGUAGGCGGUCGUGACAAGUCACUUGUGAAAUCUCCGGGCUUAACUCGGAACGGUCAAGUGAUACUGUCGGACUAGAGUACAGAAGGGGCAACUGGAAUUCUCGGUGUAGCGGUGAAAUGCGUAGAUAUCGAGAGGAACACCUGCGGCGAAGGCGGGUUGCUGGGCUGAUACUGACGCUGAGGCGCGAAAGCCAGGGGAGCGAACGGG
rnacentral:rRNA from 1 species